UCUGAGAGAGAGUUACCGAAAAUGGGAUUUUCGGUGAAUAUAAAUAUGUAUAUAUGAGAGAGUAUGUAUAAAAAAUGCUAGCUAGCCAUAUGUGUCUGUCCACCUUAAUGGCGUAGCAUAUAGCCGCAUUAUGGUGUGACGUGAGCGUUGGACGUAAGCGUAGUAGCCCUAUUUGAGUAUUUAAUUCAUAUAGGGGGUAUGGACACAUAUUUAUACACCCGUCUGUCCACCUUGAUGGCGUAGUGUAGCACCGCAUUAAGGCGUGACGUGAGCGUUGGACGCGAGCGUAGUAGCCCUAUAUAGACCCAUGAAUUUAUAUAGGGAGUAUGGACGAGUGUAAAUACAUACAUAUAUUAUAGAGUCUAAGAGGCUCGAUAUUUUAUGAGAUAAAAGUUUAUCGCUUGCGGCAUGCAUUCGAUUUUUCCUUAGAAAUUAAUUUGGGGAAACAUAAAUAUUUUAUUUAUUAUUUUAUUUUUGUCCACUCACUCUGACGUUAUUAAAUGUUUUCCCCUGGGCCCUUCGUUUUAAAUUGCCCAGUCUGCAAAGUUCGGGUUGGAUCUAGUAGGAGACGAGGCAUAGUCACCCGCAUUUCUGCCAGUUUUCGCCAGUAGGUUACCUGUUCAACCUACUCGUGUUUUCUUGCUUCCGCGUGUGUUUAGUAGCUCUGAAUACUUUAGAAUUUUUGUAUAUUAUGGGAUGUUCAGAAGUGUUAAAUUAAGAGUGUAAUAUGAAAUUUUUCGAGUUAGGGUUGUCCAUCUGCAAAGGAGAUUUUCUUAAUCUUUUCAGUAAAUUUUCCUUGGAGGUGGUCCCCGCACGACUUACUCUGGGUUUCAGGGUGAAAUCCGGGGUGGGUCGUGUCAUCCAAGGCCAUAAGUACACAUUAAAACGGAGAAAAAUCAACUUAGAUGCAAAAAAUAAAAUUUACUACCCCUAGUAAACUUUUACUGGGGGUAGUAAACUUGCAAAACAGUGUUUUCAAGGCCAUAAUACAUACUAAAACAGAGGAAGAACAAUUUAGAUUCGAAAAACUAAAGUUUACUACCUCCAGUAAACUUUAGUUCCGUCGAUGACAGUAACAACAUCAGGUUGGGAGCUGAGGGAGCUUGACUGCUUGAGCAAAUCCCUAACGCCCUGGAGAAUGCGAUUAAAUGCAUCAACACCUAACGCCCGGAGGCCGACGGUUGCGCCGACGCGGAUGGGGGUGAAGGGACGCAGGUCCUUAGGAACAACGGCUUCGGCCUUGUGGAGGAGAUCUGAGAGCGACAGGGUGGCGCUGCGAGGGUUGGAGGCGUAGGAGCUGAGACCGGGCUUGGUUUGGAGGAAGAGCUCGAGAUCUUUUCCGAUGGGGAGGAGGUUGAGGUUGUGGUCGAAGCAGAAGACGUGGACGCAGCUGCCGGAGCUGUCGGCGUAGGAGGUCUUGGAGUCGGAAGAGGAGUGAAUCUGAAUCAGAGUCUGAGAGGGCAUGACGUAGAAGACCAUGGUGAGGAGGAGAGAGAGAGAGAGAGAGAGAGAGAGAGAGAGAGAGAGAGAGAGAGAGAGAGAGAGAGAGAGAGAGAGAGAGAGAGAAAUGAAAGAGAGAUCCGGAAUGAGAGGAGAGAGAUAGAUAAGUUAUGGGUAGAAAAGUAAUUUUAUUAAGUUUAAUUGAAAUGGGCAUAGGAAAAAGUUUUUCAUUGGGAUGGGCAAUAAACCUUUAAAAUUAGUACUAAAGUGUCAUUUACUCUUUUUUUUUUACUUUGAUUACUGAUGAUUUAAGAGCAUCUCAAACGGCUUUCCUAUUUUUUAAUAUCAAUUUUAAAGAAUAUAAAGUUGUUUUUAGGUCUAACAAUUUUCUCAUCACAUUCUCCAAAAUAGGGGAUGGAGAAGAAAGAGAAACACUCAUUCCCUAAAUUGACAUCAAGUUAGGAGGAUUCAAAUUUGUCAACCCACACUUGACGACCUCAAUGACCACUAUUUAGAUUAGUGACACAUGCUCAUUUUUUUUAUCAACAAUAAAGUAAAACAAUUUGAAGAGACAUGUGUCACCAAUCUAGAUAAUGGUCAUUGAGAUGGUCAAGUAGAAGGUGAUUAACAAAUUUGAAUCCAAGUCAAGAUGGCGUGUCGCAUAUAUAUUCACUGCCAUGAACAGAUAGAUGAAAAAAAGUUGUACAUGUUAUAUGAUAGUAUAACUCAUUGAGAAUACCCAAUUCUCACUUACCACGACUUAUUUUUUUAGUUGUAUGUGUUGAUUAUUUAUAAGAAGACAACUUUAAGCUGUUGGAAAAUGUUCUUUUUCCGAUUACCGAAAGAAAGUGUAUAAGUACAACACAAACUUUUAAGAACUUCCUUUCUUAAUUAAUCUAAAUAAAACGUUGGGACUCAAAUAAGGAAAGACAGUAAAACCAUACGGUUAACAAAGUUAGAGACCUAGUAAGGUUAUCAACUACAAAAUUUAAUUCAUUUUGAACUAGUUCGGAAGAAACAAGCAGUUGCAAAAUGGGUGCACUCACUUAUUCCAAUAGAAGACUUUACCAUCGCAUAGUACCAAAGAUUGCAUUUCUUACGAGGGUUACGCAAAUCAUCUUUAUUUAUUUAUAAAAGUUGCAUUUCUUGGAUGAGUUUGCUCUGUAAAAUGGAAAGGAAAAGGUUUUAGAGUUUUGGUUUCGUUGCUUGUCCGGCGUCUCCUCUACGCUGGCGUUGGCUUCUGGCCUCGCUGGUGUAGCUCGGGCCACUGCCGAACGAGCGUUUGCGGUGCCGGUAGAUCGAAAGGAAAGAGGCUAUCAGGGGGUGGACCGAGAAGACGGCGGACUACGUUGUAGAUCGUUGUUGCUCCGAUGGGGAGGCUUCGACGUCGUUCCUGAGAGGCGCUUCGAUUCGUUUGCUAGAAUGAAAUAGUUGACGCUUUGAGAGACUAGUCUGACAUUUAGUGUAUGUCACACACAUUACAUGGUGUUUGUAUUGUUUGCCCUUUUCAAACAUAUAUGGCAAAAUACCAUAUGCAGGCAUGAUUUUGAGUCUCAACUACUCAUGCAUCCAGAACGUAGUGGACGAGAUAAUUUAAUAUGUUAACUUGCAGACGAGAUAAUUUAAUAUGUUAACUUGCAACACGCUGGGUAAUACCCAUCUCAAUCUGAAAAUGGAUAUGGCAAAAGAAGUUUUCUUUUUUCUUUUUUUUUUUGAGAAGAGGCAAAAG
rnacentral:lncRNA from 1 species